GCAAGUCGAGCGGUAACAUUUCUAGCUUGCUAGAAGAUGACGAGCGGCGGACGGGUGAGUAAUGCUUGGGAAUAUGCCUUAUGGUGGGGGACAACAGUUGGAAACGACUGCUAAUACCGCAUAAUGUCUACGGACCAAAGAGGGGGACCUUCGGGCCUCUUGCCUUUAGAUUAGCCCAAGUGAGAUUAGCUAGUUGGUAAGGUAAUGGCUUACCAAGGCGACGAUCUCUAGCUGGUUUGAGAGAAUGAUC
rnacentral:rRNA from 1 species